rnacentral:rRNA from 1 species
GUUAAUUACUGGCCAGCGGCGUCGGUAGUAUGUAGGUGGCAAGCGUUUUCCGGAUGUAUUGGGUUUAAAUGGUGCGUAGGCGGCCCUGUAAGUCAGUGGUGAAAUAUCUCAGCUUAACUGAGAGGGUGCCAUUGAUACUGCGGGGCUUGAGUACAGAUGAGGUAGGCGGAAUUGACGGUGUAGCGGUGAAAUGCAUAGAUAUCGUCAAGAACACCGAUAGCGAAGGCAGCUUACCAAGCUGUAACUGACGCUGGGGCACGAAAGUGUGGGGAUCAAACAGGAUUAGAUACCCCUGUAGUC